GACGAACGCUGGCGGCGUGCUUAACACAUGCAAGUCGAACGGAAAGGCCCUGCUUUUGUGGGGUGCUCGAGUGGCGAACGGGUGAGUAACACGUGAGUAACCUGCCCCUCACUUUGGGAUAACUUCAUGAGACUGGGGCUCAUACCGGAUAUGAUCUCCUGCUGCUUGGUGGGGGUUGGAAAGUUUCGGCGGUUGGGGAUGGACUCGCGGCUUAUUAGCUUGUUGGGUGGGUAGUGUCUUACCAAGGCUUUGACGGGUAGCCGGCCUGGGAGGGGGACCGGCCACAUUGGGACUGAGAUGCGGCCCAGACUCGAAUGGGAGGCAGCAGUGGAGAAUAUUACACAAUGGGCGGGAGCGUGAUGCAGCAACGCCGCGUGCGGGAUGACGGGCUUCGGGUUGUAAACCGCUGUCGACUGUGACGAAGCGUUAGUGACGGUAAUGGGUGAAGAAGCACCGGCUAACUACGUG
rnacentral:rRNA from 1 species